CAGACGGGUGAGUAACGCGUGGGAAUCUACCCAGUUCUCUGGAAUAACUGAUGGAAACGUCAGCUAAUACCGGAUACGCCCUUUUGGGGAAAGAUUUAUCGGGAUUGGAUGAGCCCGCGUAAGAUUAGCUAGUUGGUGGGGUAAUGGCCUACCAAGGCGACGAUCUUUAGCUGGUCUGAGAGGAUGAUCAGCCACACUGGGACUGAGACACGGCCCAGACUCCUACGGGAGGCAGCAGUGGGGAAUAUUGGACAAUGGGGGCAACCCUGAUCCAGCCAUGCCGCGUGAGUGAUGAAGGCCUAAGGGUUGUAAAGCUCUUUCACCGGUGAAGAUAAUGACGGUAACCGGAGAAGAAGCCGCGGCUAACUUCGUGCCAGCAGCCGCGGUAAUACGAAGGGGGCUAGCGUUGUUCGGAAUUACUGGGCGUAAAGCGCACGUAGGCGGAUAUUUAAGUCAGGCGUGAAAUCCCGGAGCUCAACUCCGGAACUGCCUUAGAUACUGGAUAUCUAGAGACCGAGAGAGGUAAGUGGAACUCCUAGUGUAGAGGUGGAAUUCGUAGAUAUUAGGAAGAACACCAGUCGCGAAGGCGGCUUACUG
rnacentral:rRNA from 1 species